rnacentral:lncRNA from 1 species
CAUUUUAAUAUCAACUUAACAAUUUCAAUUGAAAUAUACUAUUCAUUUAAACAUAAUUUUUUUCGUUCUGAAAAUUAAAAUUAAAACUAAAUUUGAAUUUACACAAUUAUAAAGUUUAAGCUCAAAUUGAAUAUUAAAUUUAAUUUUAUAAAGGUUUAUUACUUAUCAAAUUAGCACUAUCUAAUUUGGUAAGUAACAAAAUUAAAUAAGGAAACAAAUAUUUGUGUAAGGUUAAUCAAAUUUGGUAAUUAGCUUGUAUUUGUUUUUCCAUAUUACCCUUACGAAAUUUGGUAACCUGUUGAGCAUGUAACUAUUAUGCAAGAGUCAAUCUCGCCCUUAAAAUAUGAACGGCUAGAUUUAAUUUAGCCGGUGUAUUAAAGCAUUCCUCAAAAUCUUAUAUUCGGCCAUCAAGUUAUUUUUCAGAAUAAAAUAAAUCGCAUUGUUGCUAAAAUAUGCUAUCUUACUAAAUAAUGGAUAGCAAGCAAGACUCUUGAAGAAACAAAAAUUAAAGUCUUUAGUUACAAUCAUAUUAAAUAGUUUCCAUAUUUUAAAUAAUUUAUUCUGACAUCCAAACAUGGUCAUACUGCUGUACAUUUGAGAAAUAAGGAGUUUAAUCAAAUGUCUAGAACGGAAUACAUUAUUCGACCUUUGAGUUAUUUUUUAAAAAUAAGAUAAAUCAUCUUUUAGAUAAAAUAUGUUAUCCUAUCACAUUAUGGAUAAAAAAAUCUCAUAAGAACCAAAAAUCAAAUUCCUCACUUACAAUCAUACUAAAAAAUUCAAUUACCUGUUGGGAUCUGAGAAAUAGUGGGUGCACAACACACUAAUGAUAAUAAAAAUAAAGCACAGAAAAGUGACAAAAAUCAUGAAGCUUAGAACAACAAGAUUUAUGUGGUUUGGCCGAAGCCUACGUUCAUAAUGACCAGAGUAAGAAGAAGCUUUAUUAUAAAAUAGUUAAGAGUAUGUGAAACAACCGUUGUACUUUAAAAGUGAGCCCAUAGCGUGGGCUUGAAUUAAAUGGAAGGAAAUUAAUAUGCUAGGAGCCUGGCGUGACUUGAACUCAAGACCUCCAGCUCUGAUACCAUAUGAAACAACCGUUAUACUUUAAAAGCUAAAACUAUUAGAGAAUGGUGUUUAAACAUUUUUAUAUUUAACAGAGUACAAAAUUUUCUUCGAUGGCGAUUUCAAAAGUACAGCUUUUAAUACAAGAAGGAAAAAAAAAAAAAAUCUCCUAAGAAUUCUCGUUGGAACAACCCUGUAAUCAAAGUUGAGCAAACACCUGCAACCGAGGAUGUUCUUCAAUCUCCACUUCCUGGUCGAGACCCUCUCUAAUAAGCCUC